rfam:Tannerella sp. oral taxon BT063 isolate Cell 1/3 contig_2519917813, whole genome shotgun sequence.
CCUGCCAAGCCUCUCAACGAUGCUCAAAUCGGCAGGU